AUUUAUUAAAUUAUUUUAAAUUAUUUUAAAUAAAAUAAUAUUAUGUUUAAUUAUUUAUAUAGAAAAAAUUAAUUUAAUUAUAGUUAAAAGUAUAGUGAUAGAAAUUUUAAAUAUAUUGAAAUAUUAAAUUUUUAAAAGAAAAAUUUAUUUUUUGUACCUUGUGUAUCAGGGUUUAUUUAUAAAAUUUUAUAUAUGUAAAUUUCUCGAUUUUAAAAGAUUUAAAUAUUUAUUUUUUUUAAUGUUAAAUAAUUAUUAUAAAUAAAUAUUUAGUAAUGAAACGUUAUUCGUUUUUAAAUAUAUCUAGUUUCUUAAGAAAUAAAUUUAAUUUAUUUUUUAAUAUAAAUAAAUUUAAUUUUUAAAUUUACUUUUAUUAAUAAAAAAUAUUUUAAGGGAUAAGCUUUAAAAUAAAUUUAUAUAAUAUUUAUUUUUAAUAAUUAAAUGUAGGAUUAAAAAUUUCUUUCAUUAAUAAUUUGUUAUAAUUAAUUUUUUUAAAUAUUUUUUAUAUUUUGUUUAUAUAUUUUAUUAAGAUUAUUUAUUUAAUUUGAAAUUAAUUAUUAUAAUGAUAAAAUUAGUAUAUUUUAUUGUAAUAUUAAAUUUUUUAUAUAAGGUUAUAUUAAGGAAUUCGGCAAUAUUUAUUUUUCGCCUGUUUAAUAAAAACAUGUCUUUUUGAUUAUAAUUUAAAGUCUAGCCUGCCCAAUGAAUAUUUAAAUGGCCGCGGUAUUUUGACCGUGCAAAGGUAGCAUAAUCAUUAGUUUUUUAAUUGAAAGCUAGAAUGAAAGGUUGGACGAGAAAAUAACUGUCUCAUUAUAAUUUAAUUAGAAUUUUAUUUUUAAGUUAAAAAGCUUAAAUUUAUUUAAAAGACGAGAAGACCCUAUAGAGUUUAAUAUUUAAAUAAAUUUUAUUUUUUAUAAUUUAAAUAAUUUAUUUAAAUAUUUUGUUGGGGUGAUGAUAAAAUUUAGUUAACUUUUAUUUUUUUUAUACAUUGAUUUAUGAAUAUUUGAUCCAUUUUUAAUGAUUAUAAGAUUAAAUUACCUUAGGGAUAACAGCGUAAUUUUUUUAGAGAGUUCAAAUCGAAAAAAAAGAUUGCGACCUCGAUGUUGGAUUAAAGUUAAUUUUUGGUGUAGAAGCUAAAAUAUUGAGUCUGUUCGACUUUUAAAACUUUACAUGAUCUGAGUUUAAACCGGUGUAAGCCAGGUUGGUUUCUAUCUUUAAAUAAUUAAAUAUUUUAGUACGAAAGGACCAAAUAUUUGUAAUAAUUAUUAUAUUUUGAAUAUUAUU
rnacentral:rRNA from 1 species